rnacentral:rRNA from 1 species
GUGCCAGCCGCCGCGGUAAUACCGCCAGCCUGAGUGAUGGCCGAUCUUAUUGGGCCCAAAGCGUCCGUAGCUGGCCGCGCAAGUCCAUCGGGAAAUCCACCUGCUCAACAGGUGGGCGCCCGGUGGAAACUGUGCGGCUUGGGACCGGAAGGCGCGACGGGUACGUCCGGGGUAGGAGUGAAAUCCCGUAAUCCUGGACGGACCGCCGAUGGCGAAAGCACGUCGCGAGAACGGAUCCGACAGUGAGGGACGAAAGCCAGGGUCUCGAACCGGAUUAGAAACCCUAGUAGUCC